rnacentral:rRNA from 1 species
AUGUCGCAUUCUCGGCCACGCCGGGACUGGGAGGAGGACCAUGGCGGUGCUGGUGGCGAAGACCGGCGGGGAUCACCGCAGGCGAAGCGACCGAGACGCUGCUGCUCCUGCUCUUGCUGCCAAGAGAAAAAAGAUUUCUACGGGAGCCAAAAUGAAAUACUCAAGAAGGAAAUGGAAUGUAUGUCAAAGGGUUUAAAGGGUUUCGUGGAGGAGCGCAAAACCCUGCAGAAAGAGAUGCAACAGUUUUACCAAAGUUCCCAGCUGCAACUCCAUGAACUGAUCACUGAGCAAGGCAGGAGGAUGCAAGAAUGUCACAAGAAUUUCCGGCUAAUAUGGGAACAGUUAAAC